rnacentral:rRNA from 1 species
UACGGAGGGUGCAAGCGUUGCUCGGAAUUACUGGGCGUAAAGGGCGUGUAGGCGGUUUGCUAAGUCAUGUGUGAAAGCCCUCGGCUUAACCGAGGAACGACGCAUGAAACUGGCAAGCUAGAGUACCAAAGAGGGGGGUGGAAUUCCCGGUGUAGCGGUGAAAUGCGUAGAUAUUGGGAAGAACACCUGAGGCGAAGGCGGGUUGCUGGGCCGACACUGACGCUGAGGCGCGAAGGCUAGGGGAGCGAACGGG